rnacentral:miRNA from 1 species
AACUAAGUUUGUUCUUGGUAUAAGCUUUCAUGUGCAUGCACACUUCUUCAGAUACCUGAAGAAUAUAUCUGAAGAAGUGUGCAUGCACACGAAAGCUUAUACCUAGAACAAACUUAGUUGG